GACGAACGCUGGCGGCGUGCCUAAUACAUGCAAGUAGAACGCUGAAGGAGGAGCUUGCUUCUCUGGAUGAGUUGCGAACGGGUGAGUAACGCGUAGGUAACCUGCCUGGUAGCGGGGGAUAACUAUUGGAAACGAUAGCUAAUACCGCAUAAGAGUAGAUGUCGCAUGACAUUUGCUUAAAAGGUGCGAUUGCAUCACUACCAGAUGGACCUGCGUUGUAUUAGCUAGUUGGUGAGGUAACGGCUCACCAAGGCAACGAUACAUAGCCGACCUGAGAGGGUGAUCGGCCACACUGGGACUGAGACACGGCCCAGACUCCUACGGGAGGCAGCAGUAGGGAAUCUUCGGCAAUAGACGGAAGUCUGACCGAGCAACGCCGCGUGAGUGAAGAAGGUUUUCGGAUCGUAAAGCUCUGUUGUAAGAGAAGAACGAGUGUGAGAGUGGAAAGUUCACACUGUGACGGUAUCUUACCAGAAAGGGACGGCUAACUACGUG
rnacentral:rRNA from 1 species